AUGCUGUGAUGACUUCUUAGGACACCUUUGGAUUAGUCAUGAAAAUAAAAGUGAAUUACCUGAGCAAA
ensembl:snoRNA SNORD58 Small nucleolar RNA SNORD58